rnacentral:rRNA from 1 species
CCUACGGGAGGCAGCAGUGGGGGAUAUUGCACAAUGGGGGAAACCCUGAUGCAGCGACGCCGCGUGGGCGAAGAAGUAUUUCGGUAUGUAAAGCCCUAUCAGCAGGGAAGAAGAAAUGACGGUACCUGAGUAAGAAGCACCGGCUAAAUACGUGCCAGCAGCCGCGGUAAUACGUAUGGUGCAAGCGUUAUCCGGAUUUACUGGGGGUAAAGGGAGCGCAGGCGGCACGGCAAGCCUGAUGUGAAAGCCCGCGGCCCAACCGCGGGACUGCAUUGGGAACUACCGGGCUGGAGUGCCGGAGAGGUAGGAGGAAUUCCUAGUGUAGCGGUGACAUGCGUAGAUAUUAGGAGGAACACCAGUGGCGAAGGCGGCCUACUGGACGGUGACUGACGCUGAGGCUCGAAAGCGUGGGGAGCAAACAGGAUUAGAUACCCGGGUAGUC